AUUGAACGCUGGCGGCAUGCUUUACACAUGCAAGUCGAACGGGCUUAGGGGCUUGCUCCUAAGUUAGUGGCGAACGGGUGAGUAAUACAUCGGAACGUACCGUGUAGUGGGGGAUAACGUAGCGAAAGUUACGCUAAUACCGCAUACGAUCUACGGAUGAAAGUGGGGGACCUUCGGGCCUCACGCUAUACGAGCGGCCGAUGUCUGAUUAGCUAGUUGGUGAGGUAAAGGCUCACCAAGGCAACGAUCGAGUAGCGGGUCUGAGAGGAUGAUCCGCCACACUGGGACUGAGACACGGCCCAGACUCCUACGGGAGGCAGCAGUGGGGAAUUUUGGACAAUGGGCGAAAGCCUGAUCCAGCCAUGCCGCGUGUCUGAAGAAGGCCUU
rnacentral:rRNA from 1 species